rnacentral:rRNA from 1 species
CAAUAGCGUAUACUAAUGUUGUUGCAGUUAAAAAGCUCGUAGUCGGAUUUCAGUUUGUUUAUAUUUAAUCUUUUUUUGGUUUUUAUGUAAACUUACUUUAUGCAAGAAACUUUCAUAUUAUUUAUUUGAUAUGUUUGGGGACUUGUUCAUUUACUUUGAGAAAAUUAGAGUGUUCAAAGCAGGUAUUUGCCUGAAUAUUACUCUUGGAAUAAUAAUAUAGGACUUCAGUUCUAGUUUGUUGGUGAUCUGGAACCGGAGUAAUGAUUGAUAGGGACAGUUGGGGUCAUUCAUACUGCAAAGCGAGAGGUGGAAUUCUUUGGACCUUUGUAUGAUGAACAACUGCGAAAGCAUUUGACUAGGAUGUUCCCGUUUGAUCAAGAACGAAAGUUAGGGGGAGUCAAAGACGAUUAG